CGCGAAGAACCUUACCUGGUCUUGACAUUGAUGGACAGAACUAGAGAUAGUUCCUCUUCUUCGGAAGCCAAAAAACAGGUGGUGCACGGUUGUCGUCAGCUCGUGUCGUGAGAUGUUGGGUUAAGUCCCGCAACGAGCGCAACCCCUAUCUUAUGUUGCCAGCACUUCGGGUGGGAACUCAUGAGAGACUGCCGCAGACAAUGCGGAGGAAGGCGGGGAUGACGUCAAAUCAUCAUGCCCCUUAUGACCUGGGCUACACACGUACUACAAUGGGAGUUAAUAGACGGAAGCGAGAUCGCGAGAUGGAGCAAACCCGAGAAACACUCUCUCAGUUCGGAUCGUAGGCUGCAACUCGCCUACGUGAAGUCGGAAUCGCUAGUAAUCGCAGGUCAGCAUACUGCGGUGAAUACGUUCCCGGGCCUUGUACACACCGCCCGUC
rnacentral:rRNA from 1 species